GGGACACGUGGUAUCCUGUCUGAAUAUGGGGGGACCAUCCUCCAAGGCUAAAUACUCCUGACUGACCGAUAGUGAACCAGUACCGUGAGGGAAAGGCGAAAAGAACCCCGGCGAGGGGAGUGAAAAAGAACCUGAAACCGUGUACGUACAAGCAGUGGGAGCACCUUCGGGUGUGACUGCGUACCUUUUGUAUAAUGGGUCAGCGACUUAUAUUCUGUAGCAAGGUUAACCGUAUAGGGGAGCCGCAGGGAAACCGAGUCUUAACUGGGCGUUAAGUUGCAGGGUAUAGACCCGAAACCCGGUGAUCUAGCCAUGGGCAGGUUGAAGGUUGGGUAACACUAACUGGAGGACCGAACCGACUAAUGUUGAAAAAUUAGCGGAUGACUUGUGGCUGGGGGUGAAAGGCCAAUCAAACCGGGAGAUAGCUGGUUCUCC
rnacentral:rRNA from 1 species